ACACGGACCAAGGAGUGCAACAUGCGUGCGAGUCUUUGGGUGGCAAACCCGAUGGCGCAAUGAAGGUGAAGGCGGGCGUUUGGUCCGCUUAGGCAAGAGCCUCCCUCGUGGGGGCACACUGUCGACCGAUCCCAGGCUACGCUGUGGUGGGAUUUGAGUAAGAGCGUGCCUGUUGCGACCCGAAAGAUGGUGAACUAUGCCUGAAUAGGGUGAAGCCAGAGGAAACUCUGGUGGAAGCUCGUAGCGAUUCUGACGUGCAAAUCGAUCGUCAAAUUUGGGUAUAGGGGCGAAAGACUAAUCGAACCAUCUAGUAGCUGGUUCCCUCCGAAGUUUCCCUUAGGAUAGCUGGAGCCCGGUGCAGUUUUAUCAGGUAAAGCGAAUGAUUAGAGGUCUUGGGGUUGAAACAACCUCAACCUAUUCUCAAACUUUAAAUGGGUAAGAAGCUCGGCUUGCUUAAUUGAAGUCGGGCAUUGAAUGCCGGGGCUCUUAGUGGGCCAUUUUUGGUAAGCAGAACUGGCGAUGUGGGAUGAACCAAAUGCCGGGUUAAGGUGCCCGAAUCGACGCUCAUCAGAUACCAUGAAAGGUGUUGGUUGAUCUAGACAGCAGGACGGUGGCCAUGGAAGUCGGAAUCCGCUAAGGAGUGUGUAACAACU
rnacentral:rRNA from 1 species